rnacentral:lncRNA from 1 species
AACAAGAUGUUAAGGAAGAGAGUUUUGUCAGGGAACUGUUUCGGAGAGGUUGGCCAAGUGCAUUUUUGUUUUUUUCUUGUUUUGCCCUUUUCAUUAAUGCACAACAUUAGUCCACGUGAAGAGCACAAAAUGCUGGUGGCUUUGUCACUAACGAUAAUGGAUGGAGUGUCCAAAGCAACCAACUAAAUUUUAAAGAGAGGGAAUGAUAAGUAAUAUCUUAAUGGGGUGAUUAAUUAAUUUAUUAUCAAGCAAUUGUAUUUAUUUAUUUAAAAGAUAUCCUUAUCUUUGUACAAGGUUUGAGGAAAGACGACGAUGUUGUGUUGUCACAUAUUUUUACGUUUCUCCAUAAUUCACUGCAACAUCAACUGGGCCACCACCUCUUGCCUCUCCUGGUUCCCCUCAAUUUUCGUAUUCAAUGUCCACCGUUGAUUGUACAUUUAUUAAAAUUCUGUGGUUAUUGUUUUUUUGCAUACAUUUAAUUCC